rnacentral:rRNA from 1 species
CCUACGGGUGGCAGCAGUGAGGAAUAUUGGUCAAUGGACGAGAGUCUGAACCAGCCAAGUAGCGUGAAGGAUGACUGCCCUAUGGGUUGUAAACUUCUUUUAUAUGGGAAUAAAAUGUUCCACGUGUGGGAUUUUGUAUGUACCAUAUGAAUAAGGAUCGGCUAACUCCGUGCCAGCAGCCGCGGUAAUACGGAGGAUCCGAGCGUUAUCCGGAUUUAUUGGGUUUAAAGGGAGCGUAGGUGGAUUGUUAAGUCAGUUGUGAAAGUUUGCGGCUCAACCGCAAAAUUGCAGUUGAAACUGGCAGUCUUGAGUACAGUAGAGGUGGGCGGAAUUCGUGGUGUAGCGGUGAAAUGCUUAGAUAUCACGAAGAACUCCGAUUGCGAAGGCAGUUCACUGGACUGCAACUGACACUGAGGCUCGAAAGUGUGGGUAUCAAACAGGAUUAGAUACCCGUGUAGUC